CAUACAUACACAGUCAGCGUAGCCGAAAUCUCCAGGAGAGAUGCUCCAGGCAAGAGAAUGGAUUACUUACUAGGGGCGUCAUAAGGAUGCCCUCAUUUAAAUUACAGACGGGAAGUUGUGCGAACAAAAAAAGGACUUUGUCUUUUCUGCUGCCCUCCUUGGUUUCCACAGCUGGAAUUGUCAGUGUGUUCCAUUUGGCUUUUGUUGCAUCUAAUGAAAACCAGAGAUCAGGAUCCUAACCACACUGUAGGUGCGCAAUGACAGAAGUGGAGCCAGUGCUGGACUUUGCCUCUUCCAGUCGCUCUGGCCGUCGUAAUGCACUCCCCGACAUCCUGGGAUCACCUGCAGGAGUCAGCCCCGCAGACCUGCCGCUCAAACUGGCCGAGCUGUCACUUGCAGAUGGAACAGAGGGGGUGCAGUCACCCUCUUCCGAAGCGCCCCCUCAACCUGAAGAGAGUGCCGAGUUGAAGGAUGGAUCAUAAAGGACCACGGUGAGGAGAGAAAAAUGUAACCCGGGAGCAGGACUGCCGUGGGCCAAUUGCAAUUUAGUCAUGUGACCUAGUGUCCUAUUCUGGGUACCCCAGUGGCUAUGUGAGCCUUUUAGACCCUGAUCAUCAAAGUGAUGAAAGGAGUUGGAGAAGGGGAGUUCAGGGAGUGGCCAGCACAACUACUCAUCAGAAUGUAAUGCAGGAAUGUCAUGCAGAAGGACAUUGCAAAUUGAGAAGAACAAAUUAACACCAAAAGACAAUUCUUUACUGUCUGUCAGGUAGCAGACAUGAUGCUACUGAGCUGAAUGGACAAUGGCGCAGUCAACGUAAUUCCACCUUCAAACUUCCUGUUUUCCUACAGCGAUGGAUUUUGGUGCUGAAUUGUUUUGUAUUCUGUAUUUCAUUCAUUCAAUUACGUAUCAUUUAUUUAUUCACGUAUAUAAAGACAGACAUGAGUACAUAUAUAAAGAGACAUAUGUAAUGAGGCAGACCAUCCUUACAGCAGCAAAAACAGCAUAAAGGCGUGUGGUGAAUUUAUUUUCAUUUUACAGAAGUACGUGUCAGGCAUACUGAAAAACAAAACCUAUCCAUAGUGAAGCUCCAUUUUGGAUAUCCCUUCUAUUUUUAAAUGAGCCCCUUUGACUCUUGGAUCUCAUGGGUCCAAACCGACAAUCCACACUCACUAGAUGAACCCUUAGAUAAGCACACAGCUGUCGGCCUUUAGCCAUGUCUGUUCUUUAAUGUCUUGUCUUCUCUACAGAUGCUGUCCUAUCUGCCUUAACUAUUUGUCUUUUAUAAGUCUGCCACAGAGGAGAGCACCGUGCUGUACGAUUGUGACUAUGCGCCCACACGUAUACACACAAGUACUGAAACUGUUUUGAAUAUGACAUUCCUCAUUUUUUACAGUUGAUAAACACACUACCAGAUAAAUUAAUAUCUUGAAAUUAUCCUGGUUUUAAGCAUUUGUAUGGAUGAAUGUGAAAUAACCCAGUGCUUCCUGUCUGGGGCUGCUGUGCACAUUGUAGCCUGACUGGCCAUAUAGUUUCAAAAAUGGAUAAACAUCAGGAAAUGGACAGAUGAGUAUAUGUGUGUAUAUUUAAUAAGGUGGGUAAGAACAGGCUAGUGAAUGCUCCAAACGUCCUGUAUGAUUUUAAGUAGCCAACCCUGUGGGUCGCCCUGACCUAACCUGAAUAAAUUUCAAAAUGAGGGCCUUAUUAAUAAACCAAAGUGCAGUAGCAUUAAUGAAUGAGGGUGAAAACACAAAAUGAUAAACACCUUUCAGGUACUUCAGGGCCAACCCUCUGUGCAUGGGAGCAGUUGACCUACUUAUCCCAAGACCAAAACAUGUCUUAUCGCUGCUGUCUUCAACUUGAUGUUUAAAUCACUUUCCCUCCUGCACAAAUGUCUUGCUGCUAUAACACUGUAAGUUGAACAUGUUUUAGCAGAAGUGCUCAUUUAAAAUGCAUCCUGAACUUCACUUAUAGGUCAUCACCAGAGCUACUUCUAAGUCCCAGGAUCAACAGACAUCCCAUAGACAUAAGCGUGUCGUGAACACUACUCUGAUGGCAGGCUCUUAGUCCUCCUUUAAGAUCUUUGUGGAAAGUCUGUGAAUUUCCCUGCAGGAAGACAAAGAAGUGAGAGCCUGCUGUGGCCACUGUUGGCCUGUGAAAUGAAGCUCAGAACAAUUAGGCUAAGGGUCUAGCAGCGCCACUGCUUGGAAACCUACAGAGAAAUGUGCACCUUAAGACCUGGUGUGCUAUUACAUCUUUAGAUAUUUUGUACAUUUUGUAAAAAAGGUACCUGAGCUUUCUUCUCUUUAGAUAGCACAAUUUGAAAUUGUAAAUGGAGACCUUUUCUGAUGAUCCUGAAUGUGGCAGCCUGCAGUCCUCUUGCAGCAUUUGUGCAGAUAACACAACCCACUUUUUCUGUUGAUGAUACCCUCUUAUCAAUUUUUCACCUGGAAGUGGAUAUGUCAUGCCAAGCUCUAAAAUCCUGAACCUUUUAAAAUUAGACAUAAUAAUAAAAGAGGAUACCAGUUAUAUUAGGCCAUGACCUGUUUAAAGUGAUUAUAUAUAAACAGCCCACAAGACAAUUUCACAGUAACUAGAACUAGUAGGCUAGGAACGACCAAGAAAUAUGUGUGUUGGUGUAUGCAUGUGUAUAAUGUGGACAGUUCACAUGUUAUAGUAAAUACUGUCUAUACACAUAACUACGUGGGACCAAGAUUUUAAUGCAUUAUUCAUAAUUCAGUGUCUAAUAGCAAAUAGAAACCAAACAAAUGCUGUCUGUAAAUGUGUGAGCUCUGCAAAGGAGGUGAGGGCUGCAACCUGGCAGGUGAAUUCAAGAAUCCAUGAUUAAUUACGACUGACUAUGCUCUGCUUAAGAUGCGGACAAGGGGAGAACUGGGACAUCGAUUAUCAAAUAUAGUGGGGGAAUAACACCUAUUAAGGUGCUGAGGCUGGCAUGUGCCAGGUGUCCCUUCUGUACACAUUAAAUUACAGCCUUUUCAGGGCUAAGUCUGUGAUAUCUAUUAAUUAAAUUCAAUCUGGACCUGUUAAAUCCAGCCAUAGUCAUCUAUUCAGACUUGUUAGAGACAGCAACAGGAGUCCAUUUGCUAGGCAGCACUUUUCAUAUCUGAUUUAGUACCUUCCCAAUUUGUUACAUAGGAAUUUUCAUAUCUACCUAUCUAAUGUACAACAUUUUGUAAACUGUCUUUCAUAACUGUUUAUCUGUUGAUAUAUAUAGCAUCUUUCAUCACUAUCCAUCUACAGUUUCUAUUAUUGUGCAUUCUGUCAAUUCUCAUUACACACAAUGCCUCUAUCUAUCUAUCUAUAACUGAGCACCUUCCCUAUGUCUCUAUCUCUUGUAUAGCACCUUUCAUCAUAACUGUUUUUAUGUUACAGUUAUACCGCAUAUAUACCCACAUUUUGUUCCUGAACCAUAUGUUAAAGGGUACAGUUAAUACUGCACCUGUAAAUACUGUAACACAAUCACUAAAUUGACAAUGCUGUUUCAUACAUUUGAGGACUGAGAUCAUAUUCACCCAUUGUGUGUGCACACACACACACACCUUUCUCAACAAUAACUGUUUCUGCUCUGUACAGUGCUGUAAUAUAUGAGAAUAAUUUAAAAAGGGAAAAUCAAUAUUCUAGUGCUAGUGUCUGAUGUAAAAAUUUGCGUGGUUUUGGGAACCUUUGGACAGCUGUCUAAUGGAGACAUGUUUGGUUAAUGUGCAGAAUACAUGUGGGACACUUUGGUGAAAAUUAUGAGAGGGGACUUUUCACUUGCAACUGGGCCAACAUGGCACCUGUGAUAACAAUAAUCACUGCCAAGAAACCUCCAGUGGUGUGGCAGUUCUGCUGGGAGGACGGGGGUUAAUCUGCUGUGUUAAACCACUGACUGAUUAGUGUGUAUAUAAAGAAAUGAUAAAAAAAAAAAAAAA